GGGCCCGUCGUCUAGCCUGGUUAGGACGCCGCCCUUACGAGAGAGGCGGAGGUCCGGGGUUCAAAUCCCCGCGGGCCCA
rnacentral:tRNA from 1 species